rnacentral:rRNA from 1 species
AACGCUGGCGGCACGCCUAACACAUGCAAGUCGAACGGACGAGAGAGAAGCUUGCUUUUCUCAAGUUAGUGGCGGACGGGUGAGUAACACGUGAGCAACCUGCCUUUAAGAGGGGGAUAGCUUCUGGAAACGGAUGGUAAUACCCCAUAACAUAUAUGUAAGGCAUCUUAUGUAUAUCAAAUGAAUUUCGCUUAAAGAUGGGCUCGCGUCUGAUUAGAUAGUUGGCGGGGUAAAGGCCUACCAAGCCGACGAUCUGUAGCUGGUCUGAGAGGACGAUCAGCCACAUUGGGACUGAGACACGGCCCAGACUCCUACGGGAGGCAGCAGUGAGGAAUAUUGGGCAAUGGGGGGAACCCUGACCCAGCCAUGCCGCGUGAGUGAAGAAGGUUUUCGGAUUGUAAAGCUCUUUCGGAUGUGAAGAUGAUGACGGUAGCAUCAGAAGAAGCCCCGGCAAACUUCGUG